AUGCACGUGAUCAGUAAGGUUAGUCUUUAAUUUUUAAUGUGUUCUCUGUGAAAAUUCUUCACCAAACGCCAGUAUCUGUCACCUCUAGAAACGACGCCAUGCGUUGCGUUGCGUUGCGAGCGGUGGCGCACAGUACGGGCCAGGCAAUGCACUGCGCACUGCUCUUUCUUGCUGCUCCACACAGGGCGCAUGCCCAUCUGUUCUUAGGAGCCGGAAGACCACGGCGAUGCUGCAGCUGAAUCAUCCACAGGAGAAGCGUGUGCUGAGGGCAUUCCCCGGAUUCCUGUACAGUACAGGAGUCUUCACAGAGAACAAAUGAAGUUCAAAAGGACUGAAUAGGGUUGAUGAGGUACAUACCGUCUCCACAAAGGGUAGUCAACUGUGGGGAUAUGGUAACAGAGAAGCAAAUGGCCUUGAAGCUCUGGCAGUAAAUCCUGGGUGUGCAAUUAGAAGGCAGAUGGAGGCAACACUGACAAAGAGGAUCAUCAAUGGUGUGGACUACUGUGAUCAUCAGGAAGAAAAAGACCAUGGAGAUCCUCGUGAAACAACUUACCACAUAGUGCUUGAAGGUUGGACGUCUCAGAGGUGAGACAGCGGAGGUGUCCUGCAAGCUGCUUCUGGGGGUCCUUACGGCUAUAAAGACAAGUGGGUUGGCCAGGCUGACCGUUACGUGCUAAAGACAAGACGUGUUCAUUUGUUCAAGCAAGAAAGCCACAUCAGGUGUGCAGCAGCUGCAGCAGCAGCCACCUCCUGGCCAUGCUUCUGAUAAUCCAGGGUCAUUCUCUGGAUCUAGCUCGUCGUCUGCACAGUGUCAGCAGGCAAGGUUUGUGGGAAUCUGGUGGAAAUCAUCACUCCAGCAUUUUGAAAGUUCCGGAUGUUAGCACUAAUCUCUGAAAUCCCCACACAGAUGUGCGAUUGCCUUUGAUUUAUUUUCCAAGGCCAGGGAAGUUCUAGUGGCUGCCUCUUGAUCUUCCUCAUUAUAUUGGCCCACAUUUUAAGAUUAGCGAAUCAAUGGGGGGAUUCUGCCAGCCCCGGAGUCUGUCUAUCCCAAUUAGGCAGUUUAGACCUGCAGAAAUCACCACAGGAUGGGUCCAGAGAGCCACUGAGCCACUGUGAGACAAAACCGAAAGAAAACAUUAUUAACUAAUCCAUAGGUUACUUCCAUAAGCCCCCAUUCCAACUGGGUUCUCUAGAUUCCGAUUCGGUUCAGAGCCGGCAUCUAGCAGUAUCCAGGAGAUCUGAUGAUUUCAUUUUCCUCAACGUACACUUAGCCCUAGUGGAAGGUUAGAUGUCCCUUUGGGGGAGGCCAGGAGGAAGAUUAACAGCAUCAAUCUUUGGCAAUGUACCAUGGUUUUUCCUCUAGGGGUCUGGGCUUCUCUGUCAUUCGGAAGGCUCUGAAUCUGUGACCUGGAUUGAUUCUGGGAACCGGCUGAGAGGCCACGACUCCUGCCUUCGCUCAGUUUUUAUAAUUUAAGUUUUAUAACUCAAGAUGGACCUUCUAAAUUGGGGAUUAGUAGGAUGAAUAUGGUAAUCUCUUUAA
rnacentral:sRNA from 1 species